GCGUUGAGAAAGAUUCUGUGUUUGGUGAAAGACUUGGACCCUUUGUUGGUGGAGUUUCUGUUUGUGGAGUAGCUGUUGAAGCUGGUGUUGUGUCUGUGGUUGGUCCUGAUGUUGGAGGUUUUGUGGGUGUUGAAGCUGGUGUAGUGUCUGUGGUUGGUCCAGACGUCGGAGGUUUUGUGGGUGUUGUAUCUAGUGUAGUGUCUGUGGUUGGUGCGGAUGUCAGUGUUGAAGCUGUUGUAGCUUCUGUGGUUGGU